rfam:Pan troglodytes isolate Yerkes chimp pedigree #C0471 (Clint) chromosome 17, whole genome shotgun sequence.
UUUUUAGUAGAAAUAUGUCCCAUGCAAUAUUUGGGACGUAUUUACACUAAAA